GACGAACGCUGGCGGCGUGCUUAACACAUGCAAGUCGAACGGAAAGGCCCUGCUUUUGUGGGGUGCUCGUGUGGCGAACGGGUGAGUAACACGUGAGUAUCCUGCCCUUGUCUUUGGGAUAUCUUCACGAAACUGGGGCUAAUACCGGAUAGGAGCUACUGCUGCAUGGUGGGGGUUGGAAAGUUUCGGCGGUUGGGGAUGGACUCGCGGCUUAUCAGCUUGUUGGUGGGGUAGUGGCUUACCAAGGCUUUGAAGGGUAGGCGGCCUGGGAGGGGGACCAGGGACAAUACGACUAAGGGAGGGACCAGACGCCAACGGGAGGCAACGGGGGAAAGUAUGACACAGUGGGGCGAAGCCUGAUACAGCGGUGUCCGGAGCGGGAAGAUGGCCUACGGGUGGUGAACCGCUUUGGCCUGAGACGAAGCGUGAGUGACGGUAAUGAGUAAAGAAGCACCGGCUAACUACGUG
rnacentral:rRNA from 1 species